GAUGAACGCUGGCGGCGUGCCUAAUACAUGCGAGUCGAGCGAACGGACGAGAAGCUUGCUUCUCUGAUGUUAGCGGCGGACGGGUGAGUAACACGUGGAUAACCUACCUAUAAGACUAGGAUAACUUCGGGAAACCGGAGCUAAUACCGGAUGAUAUUUUGAACCGCAUGGUUCAAAAGUGAAAGACGGUCUUGCUGUCACUUAUAGAUGGAUCCGCGCUGCAUUAGCUAGUUGGUAAGGUAACGGCUUACCAAGGCAACGAUGCAUAGCCGACCUGAGAGGGUGAUCGGCCACACUGGAACUGAGACACGGUCCAGACUCCUACGGGAGGCAGCAGUAGGGAAUCUUCCGCAAUGGGCGAAAGCCUGACGGAGCAACGCCGCGUGAGUGAUGAAGGUCUUCGGAUCGUAAAACUCUGUUAUUAGGGAAGAACAUAUGUGUAAGUAACUGUGCACAUCUUGACGGUACCUAAUCAGAAAGCCACGGCUAACUACGUG
rnacentral:rRNA from 1 species